UUUAUGGAGAGUUUGAUCCUGGCUCAGGAUGAACGCUGGCGGCGUGCCUAAUACAUGCAAGUCGAGCGAACGGACGAGAAGCUUGCUUCUCUGAUGUUAGCGGCGGACGGGUGAGUAACACGUGGAUAACCUACCUAUAAGACUGGGAUAACUUCGGGAAACCGGAGCUAAUACCGGAUAAUAUUAUGAACCGCAUGGUUCAAAAGUGAAAGACGGUCUUGCUGUCACUUAUAGAUGGAUCCGCGCUGCAUUAGCUAGUUGGUAAGGUAACGGCUUACCAAGGCAACGAUGCAUAGCCGACCUGAGAGGGUGAUCGGCCACACUGGAACUGAGACACGGUCCAGACUCCUACGGGAGGCAGCAGUAGGGAAUCUUCCGCAAUGGGCGAAAGCCUGACGGAGCAACGCCGCGUGAGUGAUGAAGGUCUUCGGAUCGUAAAACUCUGUUAUUAGGGAAGAACAUAUGUGUAAGUAACUGUGCACAUCUUGACGGUACCUAAUCAGAAAGCCACGGCUAACUACGUGCCAGCAGCCGCGGUAAUACGUAGGUGGCAAGCGUUAUCCGGAAUUAUUGGGCGUAAAGCGCGCGUAGGCGGUUUUUUAAGUCUGAUGUGAAAGCCCACGGCUCAACCGUGGAGGGUCAUUGGAAACUGGAAAACUUGAGUGCAGAAGAGGAAAGUGGAAUUCCAUGUGUAGCGGUGAAAUGCGCAGAGAUAUGGAGGAACACCAGUGGCGAAGGCGACUUUCUGGUCUGUAACUGACGCUGAUGUGCGAAAGCGUGGGGAUCAAACAGGAUUAGAUACCCUGGUAGUCCACGCCGUAAA
rnacentral:rRNA from 1 species